GAUACCUCAUUCUUUGCCACAGCUGCCCAGUAUCCAUGAUGUGGAUCAUGGCUCAUGACCCAGUUCUCUAUGGAUAAACAUCAGGGUCGUUCCCGGUCUGUGGCCAUCGCCAACACUGCCGUGACUAGUCUAGAAUGGGUGCCAUUUCAUGCAUUUGCAAUUCCCAGAAGUACACUGGUUAGUCAGCAGGUGAGUGCAUUGGUGAGAGGAUGUGACUGCAGUCUCAGGAAAUAUGGAAACCUUCUUCCCUUUCUAGCUGCAGCACCCCCAGUCUGGACAGCAUAUGGAAAGCACUGAGGGGAAGCCCCACUAAGCACAGAACCCUGCUGGCCACCCAAGACCUCAAUACAGAUGGACAACAUGAAGCCCCUGGCUUAGGGGAAAACAGAGAGACUGAGAAACACACAGAGAGAGUUGGGGCAGGGAUGGAGAGAGAGAGAAAAUGAUAAAGACCCAGAGAGAGACAGAGUCAGAGAAAUACAGGGGUGGAGAGGGGAGAUACAGAGAGAGACAGAGAGCAAAGGGGACAGAGACAUUAACACAGAGAGAAGGAGGGAGAGGAGAGGCAUGGAGAGAGGGAGAACUCAAAGAGCCAGAGCCAGAGAAGUAGAAGGUGAGCCAUAGAGAGAUUCAGGGCAGGACUAGGGUGAGACAAGAGAGGACCCAGGCUUGUGGAUUCUUGAUUAAAAAUCAAUGGUGUUAUAAUCCAGAAAAGAGAGAGUGAGGGGAGAGAGAAAGGGCCUAGGACUAAAAAUUAAGGGGUCACUUGCGCAACCCCGGAUUUGGGUGUCUCCUUAGAUUUUGCAGCAGAGACACCUCACUUACCUCACCCUCAUCCUUGUCCUGAGACCCCCACAGGGACACAGAGACACAAGGAAAACACAUAGAACCAAAAGAGCACCCAAGAGGAGGAGGAGGGACAUGGAGACACCACGAUAGUCAAGCUGAUGGGGCCACACAAAAUCAGAACAGAGACAAAGAGGGAGGCACAGAGAGACACAGAGGGAAAGAGACCCAGAAAAAGAGAUGGACAGAGCUGGAGAGAUACAGAGUGAGAGACAGACAGUGUGCAGGAGGAAGGACACUCAUAAAUACACAGAAACAGAAAGAAGAGGCUGGAGUGGUGGCUCACACCUGUAAUCCCAGCAUUUUGGGAGGCUGAGACGGGUGGAUCAUUUGAGAUUAGGAGUUUGAGACCAG
rnacentral:lncRNA from 1 species